AUUGCCUUAGUAACGGCGAGUGAAGCGGCAAAAGCUCAAAUUUGAAAUCUGGUACCUUCGGUGCCCGAGUUGUAAUUUGGAGAGGGCAACUUUGGGGCCGUUCCUUGUCUAUGUUCCUUGGAACAGGACGUCAUAGAGGGUGAGAAUCCCGUGUGGCGAGGAGUGCGGUUCUUUGUAAAGUGCCUUCGAAGAGUCGAGUUGUUUGGGAAUGCAGCUCUAAGUGGGUGGUAAAUUCCAUCUAAAGCUAAAUAUUGGCGAGAGACCGAUAGCGAACAAGUACAGUGAUGGAAAGAUGAAAAGAACUUUGAAAAGAGAGUGAAAAAGUACGUGAAAUUGUUGAAAGGGAAGGGCAUUUGAUCAGACAUGGUGUUUUGUGCCCUCUGCUCCUUGUGGGUAGGGGAAUCUCGCAUUUCACUGGGCCAGCAUCAGUUUUGGUGGCAGGAUAAAUCCAUAGGAAUGUAGCUUGCCUCGGUAAGUAUUAUAGCCUGUGGGAAUACUGCCAGCUGGGACUGAGGACUGCGACGUAAGUCAAGGAUGCUGGCAUAAUGGUUAUAUGCCGCCCGUCUUGAAACACGGACCUCCUGU
rnacentral:rRNA from 1 species